rnacentral:rRNA from 1 species
UACGUAGGGUGCAAGCGUUGUCCGGAAUUAUUGGGCGUAAAGAGCUCGUAGGCGGCUUGUCGCGUCGGCUGUGAAAACCCGGGGCUCAACCCCGGGCCUGCAGUCGAUACGGGCAGGCUAGAGUCCGGUAGGGGGAGACUGGAAUUCCUGGUGUAGCGGUGAAAUGCGCAGAUAUCAGGAGGAACACCGGUGGCGAAGGCGGUUCUCUGGGCAUGAUCUGACGCUGAGGAGCGAAAGUGUGGGGAGCGAACAGG